rnacentral:pre_miRNA from 1 species
AUACUACUCCCUCCGUCCGGAAUUACUUGUCGCGGAAAUGAAUAAAAAUGGAUGUAUCUAGAACUAAAAUAUGUCUAGAUACAUUCAUUCCUUCGACAAGUAUUUCCGAACGGAGGGAGUAGUAU